UUGAUAGGAAUGCUUAGUGGCGGACUGGUGCGUAACACGUGAGUAACCUGCCCCGAAGAGUGGAAUAACACAGCGAAAGUUGUGCUAAUACCGCAUAACAUGGUUGCACCGCAUGGUGCUGGCCAUCAAAGAUUUAUCGCUUUGGGAUGGACUCGCGUCCGAUUAGCUGGUUGGUGAGGUAACGGCUCACCAAGGCGACGAUCGGUAGCCGGACUGAGAGGUUGACCGGCCACAUUGGGACUGAGAUACGGCCCAGACUCC
rnacentral:rRNA from 1 species